AUGAACGCUAGCUACAGGCUUAACACAUGCAAGUCGAGGGGCAUCAGGAAGAAAGCUUGCUUUCUUUGCUGGCGACCGGCGCACGGGUGAGUAACACGUAUCCAACCUGCCCUUUACUCGGGGAUAGCCUUUCGAAAGAAAGAUUAAUACCCGAUGGCAUAAUGAUUCCGCAUGGUUUCAUUAUUAAAGGAUUCCGGUAAAGGAUGGGGAUGCGUUCCAUUAGGUUGUUGGUGAGGUAACGGCUCACCAAGCCUUCGAUGGAUAGGGGUUCUGAGAGGAAGGUCCCCCACAUUGGAACUGAGACACGGUCCAAACUCCUACGGGAGGCAGCAGUGAGGAAUAUUGGUCAAUGGGCGCUAGCCUGAACCAGCCAAGUAGCGUGAAGGAUGAAGGCUCUAUGGGUCGUAAACUUCUUUUAUAUAAGAAUAAAGUGCAGUAUGUAUACUGUUUUGUAUGUAUUAUAUGAAUAAGGAUCGGCUAACUCCGUGCCAGCAGCCGCGGUAAUACGGAGGAUCCGAGCGUUAUCCGGAUUUAUUGGGUUUAAAGGGAGCGUAGGUGGACUGGUAAGUCAGUUGUGAAAGUUUGCGGCUCAACCGUAAAAUUGCAGUUGAUACUGUCAGUCUUGAGUACAGUAGAGGUGGGCGGAAUUCGUGGUGUAGCGGUGAAAUGCUUAGAUAUCACGAAGAACUCCGAUUGCGAAGGCAGCUCACUGGACUGCAACUGACACUGAUGCUCGAAAGUGUGGGUAUCAAACAGGAUUAGAUACCCUGGUAGUCCACACAGUAAACGAUGAAUACUCGCUGUUUGCGAUAUACAGUAAGCGGCCAAGCGAAAGCAUUAAGUAUUCCACCUGGGGAGUACGCCGGCAACGGUGAAACUCAAAGGAAUUGACGGGGGCCCGCACAAGCGGAGGAACAUGUGGUUUAAUUCGAUGAUACGCGAGGAACCUUACCCGGGCUUAAAUUGCAGUGGAAUGAUGUGGAAACAUGUCAGUGAGCAAUCACCGCUGUGAAGGUGCUGCAUGGUUGUCGUCAGCUCGUGCCGUGAGGUGUCGGCUUAAGUGCCAUAACGAGCGCAACCCUUAUCUUUAGUUACUAACAGGUCAUGCUGAGGACUCUGGAGAGACUGCCGUCGUAAGAUGUGAGGAAGGUGGGGAUGACGUCAAAUCAGCACGGCCCUUACGUCCGGGGCUACACACGUGUUACAAUGGGGGGUACAGAAGGCAGCUAGCGGGUGACCGUAUGCUAAUCCCAAAAUCCUCUCUCAGUUCGGAUCGAAGUCUGCAACCCGACUUCGUGAAGCUGGAUUCGCUAGUAAUCGCGCAUCAGCCACGGCGCGGUGAAUACGUUCCCGGGCCUUGUACACACCGCCCGUCAAGCCAUGGGAGCCGGGGGUACCUGAAGUACGUAACCGCAAGGAUCGUCCUAGGGUAAAACUGGUGACUGGGGCU
rnacentral:rRNA from 1 species